rnacentral:rRNA from 1 species
GACGAACCGCACAAACGUUAUUCGGAAUUACUGGGCUUAAAGGGUGCGUAGGCGGUCCGGCAAGUUGGGUGUGAAAGCCCUCGGCUCAACCGAGGAAUUGCGCUCAAAACUGCCGGACUUGAGGGAGAUAGAGGUGAGCGGAACUUAGGGUGGAGCGGUGAAAUGCGUUGAUAUCCUAAGGAACACCAGUUGCGAAGGCGGCUCACUGGGUCUCUUCUGACGCUGAGGCACGAAAGCUAGGGGAGCGAAGAGGAUUAGAUACCCUCGUAGUCCUAGCUGUAAACGUUGAGCACUUGGUCGGAGAAUCCUCCAUAGUUUUCCGGCCGUAGCGAAAGUGAUAAGUGCUCCGCCUGGGGAGUAUGGUCGCAAGGCUGAA